ACUCAACUAGUAUUAUACUCGUGUCUUGUCCUCGGAUUAGCUGAAAUAUUUGUUUUUAUAUAUCUUGUAGUACGCUCGUUAGCUACUGCCAAACAACACUGUUUUAGAGAAUAGAUAGGUAUAUAUAUAUUUUUUUUUUUUUUUUUUGGGUUGGUAUCAUUAUACACUGUAGUCUGUGGUAUCAUUACCCAAUAUGCUUGUUCCCAGAAUGUCUCCUCUCAUUCGCUUUUUAGUGCUGCCACUCAACACAACUCAGUUCAGUUAUGCCUAAGAGAAAAAAUAACGAACUGGAGUAUAUUAGUAAGAAGAUAAGGAAAUUAGAAGAGAAAUUACGCCGAGCACGAAGAAUGGAAGAGUCUUCAGACUCCUCUUCAUCAUCGGAAUUGCUAGACUUGCAAAACGAUGCAGGCGACGAAUUCAGCAUAUGUUCCAGGCCACCCAGCCCAAUAGAGGAGGUAGAAAUAAUCUCCAUGGACAAUGAACCGCUGCUGGCAGAGGUACCGCCCGCGCCGCCAGAAAUACCUGCUGAGAGUACCGAGGUACCUAAUGGAGAUCAAGCUUUGCCGGACGAGAUUUUGGAGAUUUUGGGAGAGGACCCAACAUCUGUUUCGCAAUUGGGACCGGAAAUACGGAAGGAGUUGGCUAACAGAUUAAAUCACAUCGCUAUCUCCGGUCUGGAUAAAGAGGUCCGAAAAGAUUUAUUCCAAAAUAAAAAAUACAUGGUUCCUACCAACAGCGAACGCAUCGCCGCGCCAUUACUUAACUUAGAAAUAAGGGCCGCAUUGCCAGAUACCAUAUUAAAACGGGACAAGGGCAUGGAAACGAGACAAAAGCAGAUAUCUGCGGUUAUUUCUUGUAUUGCCCGGGUUAUAGAUAAUCAAAUAAAAAAUAAUAAUGCUGACAGCAAAGUAACCAAGGAACUGAUGGACAGCAUUCGUAUGCUCUGUGACAUCCAGUAUUCCGACUCUAUGAGAAGAAGAUAUUUUAUUUUAUCUUGCGUAAAAAGGGACGUGUUAGAACACCUAAAACUGACAAAGGUUGACAAGUACUUGUUUGGUGAAAACAUAUCAUAGACUUUAAAAACGGCAAAAACGGUGUCAAGAUCGAGAGCCGAGAUUAUAAAAACUCAGGGCAGUAAUAAUAAAGGAACAAUAAAGAGGAAAACACAACCAUCAACUUCAACUUUAAACUACAGGGCUCCUCCGGCACGCAGGCAGCCGGUACAAAAGAGGAGCCAUCCGCCUGCUCCAGCGCGGAAGCCCGAAUUCUCAUCGAGAGGAUCGCGGCAUCAUCAACAGCAAUACAGGAACCCACAUCGCGAUUAAACGAGCAAACGCAACAUACAGUCACAACUUACCCUGGUUGCUGGGAUAUUAUACGGCGGUCAUUACUACGAAGAGACACCCCACCAGCCUCAAUCGACAUAAUGCUAUCAUCCCUGGCAGAAAGCUCCAUCAAACAGUACGAUGUUUGCUUGAAGAAAUGGUUUACACAUUGUAACAGGAAUUCAAUAAAUAUGUUGGAAGCACCAGUCCCAGAGAGAGACCUGCUAUAUGUCCAGCACAAGCUCUUACAGCUUAUAUAAGUAAAACCUCUACAUUACGUAGUCAAGAGGAUUUAUUUAUUAGUUAUAAAAAACCUUUCAAAGUAGUUUCAACCCAAACAUUAAGUCGCUGGAUAAAAACCGUACUAAAAGAGAGCGGUAUUGAUGUAUCCAUAUUCUCUGCCCACAGCACCAGACAUGCUGCAACUUCUAAAGCUUAUAGAGCAGGCAUCAACAUAGAUAUUAUUCGCAAAACUGCGGGCUGGAGCCAAAACUCCAGCACGUUUUGGAAAUAUUAUAAUAGAGAUUUGAUUUGUAAUCAGGAAAAUUCCUCUAUAGCCAAAGCAAUCAUAGGAAAAUAGAACAAAUUACAUUAAAAUUGUUGGGAAAUUGAA